GUCUUCCUCUUCUCCGUUGUGAUUGGCAACAAGUCUGUCAAUAUGGCACCGUGCAAUGCCUCCACCAAAUCAGCGGAAUUGCAUUCCUCGUCGGGAUGGAGCCACCAUUCUUCCGUCGCUGUGGUCACCUCGGUGGCGAAGCUUUGCGUCUCUACCACUUCCAUGCUAUUGCUAUCGAGAUCGGCGACCAAUCGAUUAUGUGCCUGCACGUGAACGUAAUGAAUAAAACGCAUUAUCGAUAAGGCAAAUAUAUAGAGAAGAAAAGAAGGAAAAAAGUUUCGUCGUAUUUAACGCAUGGUACGAGAAUUGGAACAAAUUUAUAAAUUUUCCUCGUCGAUGUCCUGCUUUCUUAAUUCUUUAUUAGCAACUAUUGAAAUAAUAAAUUCAAUGAUUUAUUAAAAAUAUAGUA